rnacentral:rRNA from 1 species
UGAGGAAUAUUGGUCAAUGGGCGGAAGCCUGAACCAGCCAAGUCGCGUGAGGGAAGACGGUCCUAUGGAUUGUAAACCUCUUUUGUCGGGGAGCAAAGCCAGUCUUGUGAGACUGGAAGGAGAGUACCCGAAGAAAAAGCAUCGGCUAACUCCGUGCCAGCAGCCGCGGUAAUACGGAGGAUGCGAGCGUUAUCCGGAUUUAUUGGGUUUAAAGGGUGCGUAGGCGGAACCUUAAGUCAGCGGUAAAAUGUCGGUGCUCAACGCCGGCCGGCCGUUGAAACUGAGGUUCUUGAGUGAGCGAGAAGUAUGCGGAAUGCGUGGUGUAGCGGUGAAAUGCAUAGAUAUCACGCAGAACUCCGAUUGCGAAGGCAGCAUACCGGCGCUCAACUGACGCUGAGGCACGAAAGCGUGGGGAUCGAACAGGAUUAGAUACC